AGAGUUUGAUCCUGGCUCAGGAUGAACGCUAGCGGCAGGCUUAACACAUGCAAGUCGAGGGGCAGCAUAAUGGAUAGCAAUAUCUAUGGUGGCGACCGGCGCACGGGUGCGUAACGCGUAUGCAACCUACCUUUAACAGGGGGAUAACACUGAGAAAUUGGUACUAAUACCCCAUAAUAUCAUAGAAGGCAUCUUUUAUGGUUGAAAAUUCCGAUGGUUAGAGAUGGGCAUGCGUUGUAUUAGCUAGUUGGUGGGGUAACGGCUCACCAAGGCGACGAUACAUAGGGGGACUGAGAGGUUAACCCCCCACACUGGUACUGAGACACGGACCAGACUCCUACGGGAGGCAGCAGUGAGGAAUAUUGGUCAAUGGACGCAAGUCUGAACCAGCCAUGCCGCGUGCAGGAUGACGGCUCUAUGAGUUGUAAACUGCUUUUGUACGAGGGUAAACGCAGAUACGUGUAUCUGUCUGAAAGUAUCGUACGAAUAAGGAUCGGCUAACUCCGUGCCAGCAGCCGCGGUAAUACGGAGGAUUCAAGCGUUAUCCGGAUUUAUUGGGUUUAAAGGGUGCGUAGGCGGUUUGAUAAGUUAGAGGUGAAAUUUCGGGGCUCAACCCUGAACGUGCCUCUAAUACUGUUGAGCUAGAGAGUAGUUGCGGUAGGCGGAAUGUAUGGUGUAGCGGUGAAAUGCUUAGAGAUCAUACAGAACACCGAUUGCGAAGGCAGCUUACCAAACUAUAUCUGACGUUGAGGCACGAAAGCGUGGGGAGCAAACAGGAUUAGAUACCCUGGUAGUCCACGCAGUAAACGAUGAUAACUCGUUGUCGGCGAUACACAGUCGGUGACUAAGAGAAAUCGAUAAGCUAUCC
rnacentral:rRNA from 1 species